rnacentral:rRNA from 1 species
UACGGGGGGGGCGAGCGUUAUUCGGAAUUAUUGGGCGUAAAGGGCGCGUAGGCGGCUUGGUAAGUCAAAGGUGAAAUCCCUCGGCUCAACUGAGGAAUUGCCUUUGAAACUGCCUGGCUUGAGGCCGGGAGGGGGUAGCGGAAUUCCCAGUGUAGCGGUGAAAUGCGCAGAUAUCGGGAAGAACACCCGUGGCUAAGGCGGCUCUCUAGUACGGUACUGACGCUGAGACGCGAAAGCGUGGGGAGCGAACAGG